AUUCUUACCUGGCAGGGGAGAUAUCAUGAUCACACAGGUGCUUUUCCCUGCAUGAGGCAUAUCCACUGCACCUGGCUGUACGGACCCCUGCUAUUUCUCCAAAUGUGGAAAACUCAACUUCAUAAUUUGUGAGAGUGGAGGGACUACAGUCACACUCUCC
rnacentral:snRNA from 1 species